rnacentral:tRNA from 1 species
GAGGGUGUAGCUCAGUGGUAGAGCAUGCAUGAGGUUCUGGGUUCAAGCCCCAGUACCUCCA